rnacentral:rRNA from 1 species
CCUCAGCACGGGGAUAAACCCGGGAAACUGGGUAUAAUACCCGAUAGUUCUGGGAUGCUGGAAUGCUUCCAGGACGAAAGCUCCGGCGACUGAGGAUGGGUCUGCGGCCUAUCAGGUAGUAGUGGGUGUAAUGUACCUACUAGCCUACGACGGGUACGGGUCGUGAGAGCGAGAGCCCGGAGAUGGAUUCUGAGACACGAAUCCAGGCCCUACGGGGUGCAGCAGGCGCGAAAACUUUACAAUGCUGGCAACAGCGAUAAGGGGACCUCGAGUGCCAGGAUACAAUCUUGGCUGUCGUAAUGCCUAAAAAGCAUUGCAUAGCAAGGGCCGGGCAAGACCGGUGCCAGCCGCCGCGGUAACACCGGCGGCUCGAGUGGUAACCGCUAUUAUUGGGUCUAAAGGGUCUGUAGCCGGCCGGAUAAGUCUUUUGGGAAAUCCAGCUGCUCAACAGUUGGGCUUUCAGAAGAUACUGUUCGGCUCGAGGCCGGGAGAGGUGAGAGGUACUUCAGGGGUAGGGGUGAAAUCUUGUAAUCCUUGAAGGACCACCAGUGGCGAAGGCGUCUCACCAGAACGGUCCUGACGGCAAGGGACGAAAGCUAGGGGCACGAACCGGAUUAGAUACCCGGGUAGUCCUAGCCGUAAACGAUACUCGCUAGGUGUCAGCCACGGUGCGACCGUGGUUGGUGCCGUAGGGAAGCCGUGAAGCGAGCCACCUGGAAUACGGCCGCAAGGCUGAA